rnacentral:rRNA from 1 species
UACGAAGGGAGCUAGCGUUGUUCGGAAUCACUGGGCGUAAAGCGCACGUAGGCGGAUGUGUCAGUCAGGGGUGAAAUCCCGGAGCUCAACUUCGGAACUGCCCUUGAUACAGCACGUCUUGAGUCCGGAAGAGGUGGGUGGAAUUCCUAGUGUAGAGGUGAAAUUCGUAGAUAUUGGUUAGAACACCGGUGGCGAAGGCGGCCACCUGGGAGGUUACUGACGCUGAGACGCGAAAGCGUGGGGAGCAAACAGG